rnacentral:rRNA from 1 species
GACGAACGCUGGCGGCGUGCUUAACACAUGCAAGUCGAACGGAAAGGCCCUGCUUUUGUGGGGUGCUCGAGUGGCGAACGGGUGAGUAACACGUGAGUAACCUGCCCUUGACUUUGGGAUAACUUCAGGAAACUGGGGCUAAUACCGGAUAGGAGCUCCUGCUGCAUGGUGGGGGUUGGAAAGUUUCGGCGGUUGGGGAUGGACUCGCGGCUUAUCAGCUUGUUGGUGGGGUAGUGGCUUACCAAGGCUUUGACGGGUAGCCGGCCUGAGAGGGUGACCGGCCACAUUGGGACUGAGAUACGGCCCAGACUCCUACGGGAGGCAGCAGUGGGGAAUAUUGCACAAUGGGCGGAAGCCUGAUGCAGCAACGCCGCGUGCGGGAUGACGGCCUUCGGGUUGUAAACCGCUUUCGCCUGUGACGAAGCGUGAGUGACGGUAAUGGGUAAAGAAGCACCGGCUAACUACGUGCCAGCAGCCGCGGUGAUACGUAGGGUGCGAGCGUUGUCCGGAUUUAUUGGGCGUAAAGGGCUCGUAGGUGGUUGAUCGCGUCGGAAGUGUAAUCUUGGGGCUUAACCCUGAGCGUGCUUUCGAUACGGGUUGACUUGAGGAAGGUAGGGGAGAAUGGAAUCCCUGGUGGAGCGGUGGAAUGCGCAGAUAUCAGGAGGAACACCAGUGGCGAAGGCGGUUCUCUGGGCCUUUCCUGACGCUGAGGAGCGAAAGCGUGGGGAGCGAACAGGCUUAGAUACCCUGGUAGUCCACGCUGUAAACGGUGGGUACUAGGUGUGGGGUCCAUUCCACGGGUUCCGUGCCGUAGCUAACGCUUUAAGUACCCCGCCUGGGGAGUACGGCCGCAAGGCUAAAACUCAAAGGAAUUGACGGGGCCCCGCACAAGCGGCGGAGCAUGCGGAUUAAUUCGAUGCAACGCGUAGAACCUUACCUGGGUUUGACAUGGAUCGGGAGUGCUCAGAGAUGGGUGUGCCUCUUUUGGGGUCGGUUCACAGGUGGUGCGUGGCUGUCGUCAGCUCGUGUCGUGAGAUGUUGGGUUAAGUCCCGCAACGAGCGCAACCCUUGUUCACUGUUGCCAGCACGUUAUGGUGGGGACUCAGUGGAGACCGCCGGGGUCAACUCGGAGGAAGGUGGGGAUGACGUCAAGUCAUCAUGCCCCUUAUGUCCAGGGCUUCACGCAUGCUACAAUGGCUGGUACAGAGAGUGGCGAGCCUGUGAGGGUGAGCGAAUCUCGGAAAGCCGGUCUCAGUUCGGAUUGGGGUCUGCAACUCGACCUCAUGAAGUCGGAGUCGCUAGUAAUCGCAGAUCAGCAACGCUGCGGUGAAUACGUUCCCGGG